AAGGCUUGACAUGCACUGGACCGAUCCAGAGAUGGGUUUUCCUUUUUGGCUGGUGUGCAGGUGGUGCAUGGUU
rnacentral:rRNA from 1 species